AUUGAACGCUGGCGGCAGGCCUAACACAUGCAAGUCGAGCGGAUGAAGGGAGCUUGCUCCUGGAUUCAGCGGCGGACGGGUGAGUAAUGCCUAGGAAUCUGCCUGGUCGUGGGGGAUAACGUCCGGAAACGGGCGCUAAUACCGCAUACGUCCUGAGGGAGAAAGUGGGGGAUCUUCGGACCUCACGCUAUCAGAUGAGCCUAGGUCGGAUUAGCUAGUUGGUGGGGUAAAGGCCUACCAAGGCGACGAUCCGUAACUGGUCUGAGAGGAUGAUCAGUCACACUGGAACUGAGACACGGUCCAGACUCCUACGGGAGGCAGCAGUGGGGAAUAUUGGACAAUGGGCGAAAGCCUGAUCCAGCCAUGCCGCGUGUGUGAAGAAGGUCUUCGGAUUGUAAAGCACCUUAAGUUGGGAGGAAGGGCAGUAAGUUAAUACCUUGCUGUUUUGACGUUACCAACAGAAUAAGCACCGGCUAACUUCGUG
rnacentral:rRNA from 1 species